UACAAAGAAAUCUUGACUCAAUAAGCAAAAAAUACUCACUUUUUCUACUUUUUAGAUUUAAAAAAAACAAAUUAUGCGUAAUUAUACUUUGAUAAUUGACUGACGACUUCCAUGUUCAAGAAUCGGCUUUCGUACUAGAAAAUUCUUGGGAAAACAGAGAAUAAAUGAUUUUUGUAUAUGUGUGUUUUGACACCUUUAAAUAAAACAUUUUUUCAUUGUUGUCAAAUAUAUAUCUUAAGUUUGUCAGAAAUUGGUACACACUCUUUUAUCUGUUGAGCUCUCAAAAACAAACACAAGCAAUCGACUAUUUGGAUGAAACACACAUUGUUUUCCACUCAAAGUUUUAGUUCAACUCAUCUAUAAUGUUCAUACUGCCUCCCUAUUUGACUUCGUGAGCACAAACCGCCAACGAAAGUUUGAAACCAGGUUAUUUACAAUUAUUCAGAGUUGCUUAAGGAACCUGUUUUCCUAUUAAAAAAUUGCAUUGAGAUACUUACUAAACUGCUAUAUCUUUUUGUUUUCUCAUUUAAUGAAAAACAUUCCAAAAACAAUAUUGACAUCAAGUCGUUUUUUAAUGUAACAGUUUUAAUGAAUUCUUCAGAUUGUUUCUAUCGUAUUGCUCUAUCUCAAUGAAAGCACUGCUAAGAAAUUAUAUUUAAAUUGAUAUGACAGCUUCUAAUAUCGAAUCAACUAUCCAUCCUCAUACUAAUACCACAUGAGUCGGACUAAUUGAAAAUGCCAGCGAUAUCGACAAAUGUACAUCGACAUUUCGGAUAAUGUUUGGGUUUAGAGUAGCCUCUUUUGUAGUUGAAAGUGGAAGAAAUACAUGAUUAAAUGUUGUGCUUCCAUAGCUCGUGUACUUAUAAAUCAUACAGUCACUCUUGAGAAUAUGAAAUUAAAAAUCACUGCAUUUAUUCUAACACUUAUUCUGUUCCAGUAAGAAUUAUUCAAACUGAAUUUACUACAAAACUACAGAUCAAUACCCACACAUAAAAACCAAAAACAAGUUUUUUCUUUUAUUUACAAUAGCUUCAACUAAGUAUUUUGAAGCUGCUUGUUAGUUAAUGCUAC
rnacentral:lncRNA from 1 species